rnacentral:lncRNA from 1 species
ACUGCCACCCUCUCCCAGGUCUAGAGAGGGGUACCCACGGUGGAGGGAGGUGGGAGGCCGAGACGGCCCCGGGGGUCGGCGGAGACCCAGCGGGAGCAGGGGGAAAUCGGAAGAGCUGGGGGCAUGGAGCGGGCGAGUUUGGAGCGGAAUGAGCCGGGAGCCCUACGUUGUGGAAGGAAGACAACAGUAUAGGACCAUCAGCAGGACCGGACAGAGAGGGGCACCCCUGGCUGUCCUGGAACUUGUAGACCAGGCUGGCCUUGAACUCAGAAAUCCGCCUGCCUCUGACUCCCGAGUGCUGAGAUUAAAGGUGUGCACCACCACACCCGACAAGGAAGCCUGUUUUAAGAAGUGAUUCCAUGGAGGAGUUCUGCGGCGGCUCAGGGCUUGACUAAACAGUGGACCUCAGACCCGAGGGUGAAGGAUGAGGAGGAUGGAAGAAAAUGGGAGUGGCGCUUGCUGCAAAGGGUCUCGAAGGGUCUCAGCACCUGCGAACUGGCUCCAAUCCAAACUCCACUAUUCAUGGUCAAGUUCACAUAGGGCUUGGGGUUCUAACAAGAUGUGACUAAACUUACGUUUUCUAUCUUAUUGAUUGUUGUUGAUGCACGUCUGGUGGUACAUGCUUGAAGAACACAGACACCCUGAGAAGAAAGACAUAGCUCCCCAGAUUCCAGCACGCACUUCUCUGUGAGCUACCACUGUAGCUGAAGAUACAGGGCUCAGGAGGAACACUUGGCCUUCGCUCUGAACUUCAGGCCCACGUAACCAUCAGCCGACAUGACACUGCAAAGGCACCUUAGCUCUGCUGUCCCAGAUGGCCAAGCCAACCUUAUUCCAGAAGCUACUUCUCCUGAUGUAAGAACCAGACACAAAGGACAACCUCUGCCUCACCCUCCUUCACACAACACUGAGUCUGUCAUCUUUGAAGCAUUUCUCAAGCCAUGUUUAUUCCCCUGGCCUACGUGGAACACAGCCAGGUUUGGCGGACUCCAACUCUUGGGAUAGCUUUUUUUCUGGCCCCAAACUCACCUGAUUCGUCUGUCCACUGCCACACUGAAGAAUGAACAGCUGUCUCAGAGAGCUUGGCUCCAGAGCUCUGCAAAAAGAGGACACCUUGCCUUGAGCUGUGUUUCCAGAAUGUAUUGCAGCCCCCAGAGUCAUGUACUGUGACCAGGUGAGGACAUGCAUCUUCUGUUCUCCUGCACCCAGGGCCCCAGCAACCAAGGAUCUGGGGACAUGGCGGGUGUUUGGCAGGUUCGCACUCUGAAAAUAUUUGAUGAGACUCAGUAUAUGCUAAAUAAACACUGGAUCAAG